UCUUCGUUUACGUUAUAUCCGACCGUGUAUGGCGUCCUCGUCUACGACGCGUCGACGUAGCCGGCAUCUAGUCGACCUCCGUGCCGGAUGACAAGAAUCACUUCGAACAACUCGCUUCGCGGGCGUCAAUUAUGUCAUCGGGUUUGUGGGAUGUCGAAGGUUCUUGGGUGCUCUGCUUUGGGUAGUUGAGAAGGAUGGGUGCUCCUUAGGUGCAUUGGGUUUUGGAGCGAUAAAUGAAAAACGAAGUUCAAGUUUAAAAUGCGGAUGGGGAAACAAAUGGUCGGUGACGAGAAGAACAUCGAACGACGAGAGGCGGCGGAGUACUCGAGCGAGCGGCAGGCACACGAGACCGGCGCGCGUACGUUCCAGAGUAUCUCGUCGCAGGCCGCGUGACAAACGGUCAGCGAUAUUAAAAUCGUCGCAGGAACACGUUUUUCGUCCGGCAGCGGCGAACUGGAACAUUGCUGCUGGCCCGUUCGGAGCAAACGCAAUUUGUAGCUGUAUGCGUGAGUGACGCGUGACUAACCAUUCGCGUGUCACGUCAUUUCUCUUUGAUAGUAGUGGAACCGCGCUCUUCCCAUUCAAUACGGUCCCACCUCCUCCUGCACCCUCUGCUCCUCCUAACCUCUCGCCCCCACCUGGCACGAUUACAAAUUAAUUGAGAGUGAAACGCGAACGCACCGGUAAACGCUUUGAAAACGACGUCGACAGGAGCUAGAGGCGCUAAUCAUGAAUAAUGAAUGCCGUGCCGGCCCGCCGCAGAACCCGCUUAGAAACGCGCUGCCCAACACACGCGGAUUUUGUACGAUAAUCCCGCGAAAGCCAAGGGAUUUUCCGAAUGUUAAAUCGACCGACCAGCCACGCGCGCUUCUACCGCGUCCUCGCGAGAUUAAUCACGGCGAAUGUCGAAACACGGUGUUAAAGCUUUUUGAGUUUUGACGAAAAUACUCAUUACCUUAUUUCCGCGCGGGAAAGUGAUUGAUAUUAGAAUUGUGAAAUUUCUUUAAAUGAGAAACUUCAGAUAUCUUAUUACGAUACGGUAGUUAACGAUUCUAAAUGAGAUCCGACGAUUGGUGAAGAUUACAAACAAUGACAACGUAAGAAAGACGGGGCUUAUCCUCAAACCCUUCUUCACUUCUUUCCACUCAGCCCACAAUCUUCAAGUAUCUGUUUGAAACAAUCUCAUAAAAACCUCAUACUUCGUAAAAUCGAAGUAGAAAAAGUCGUACCUCUUAACUUCGAAUCGCAAGAAAGCCAAACAAUUCCACUAAAUAGGACAAAACGAAUCGAAAUAGCGAACGGGUAAUGUUGCACGAGACGUGAGCGCGUGCACCUGUUUCGUCAACGCUAGAUUUUCUCUUACACGGUUUAAUUGUAAUCGAAUCACGGUGACAGUUAGACGUAUUGUCCUCGGCGGCCAGUUCUGGAUUCGUUGGCCUGAAAACGGCCGACUAUAUUUGGCCACGAAACCGGUGGCCGCACGCGUAUUCGACUGAACACGACGGAAAUUCAUCGCUCACCGUACGCGACGGAAUCGUGUCUCUAGAGUGCCGUAUGCUCUCUUUUUCCCUUCCCCUUUUUCCUCUCUUUCUCUCUCCACCGCCAAGCAGAUAUAUCCCAUUAAGUUCGUUAACCGAGGCACAAUCGUACACGGUCCCCACGAAUCGAGCCUCGCCGAUUUUAUGCGCCGUUACCACCGAUCGACAGCUUCUUCUCGCGUUUCGAGUUUUUGAGCCGCGUUUCACGGCAAUUACGUUCGAUGACUUUCCUCGAAUUCGUCGCGGAGUCCGUUUACGGAAGGCGGAACAAUAGAGAACCAACGACACGAGUCUGAUCGACGGCUGUUUCUACUGUGAUUGAUUGCAAUCGGCCUGCAGGCCGACGCCACUUUCGAUCCUCCAGUAAUAUCGUAUACGUCUAUGCCGAAGAGAAAGGGAGUGGAUCGUACUUAACGAGAUUCAUAGGUUAACCUCGUACGGAAUUGGUACAUGGAAUAAAUAUCGUUAACGAUCAGAUUCGCCCUAAAAUUCGUUCGCCAGAGAACGAGACGAGAUAUCAACCUACUUUGGAAACACGGCGCUCUCGAGUCGCGAUCGCAGCCACCCUCAUCCCAGAUGUCCCGAGUCGACUCGAAAAUUCAAUCCACUCGAACGAGAAGACGCGACAGAGGUCGCAACCCCGUUUCCCUCCAAUGAGCAUCUACGAAAGAGAGCAAAAAAAGAAGGAAAGGAAAAGUCCCACCGAUCCGAGUACUCUCAAUCAACGGAAGCUUCUCCGUCUCGCAAUCUUUGGAGAUUACGAGCACAGAGAGAAACGUAAGACGGCUUGAAGUAACCCCCAUGACGCGAAGGAAGGGUGCACGAGGUCUGUCCCGCUCCAAGACUCCGGGGAUGCGACGUCAUAUCGAUCAGGGACUUUCGGAACGGCCUAGCAGAGGGAAGGCUGAAAGCAAUAUUAACGAAGAAGAAGACGAGCACUAGGUCUAUCUCCUCUUCCACCCCUCUACAACCACUUCUUCUCUUUCUCUCCCUCUCCCUCUCUCUUCUCUCUCAUUCUCUCUUGCCGGUACUCUGGUGUCCUUGUCCGAUCUGCUGGAGGGGAAAACGAAGGUACACUAACCCCAGAUCCGAAGCAGCAACCUCUCUCUGCUAGGCGCGGCCUUCUGACGCCCGCUCGAUAGAAACCCGACCGGUUCCAGCCAAUGGGAGGAACGUACGAAGAUAAAGCAGUCGUCCGAUUGGUCGACGUGCUAUUCAGACUGACACUGUGCUGAUGGGAAACGGGCGAGCCACCGAGCCGCGUGGAGAUGGAACUGGUCCCACCAGCAUCCACGGACCUGGGGAUUCUCCGUGCCGAGAACGAGAGUCAUCUGGCGAAUGCCGCUGGAGGCCGUUUUCGACGGCUGAUUCUACUUACGUCUCCACGAGGAUUCCAAGGAAAUUGCCACGGAGUUCGAGCGAACGGACCUAGAGUAUCCUAGAGCAUCGAAUUGGGUCGAGGAUCGAAAUUUGGGUUCUUCAGGGGUGAAAAAUUGUCUUAGCUUGUAGUUAGUAUAGACAAAGUAGUUUGACGAGGCAUAACAUGUCCCUGAUUAUUUCUUUUUUAAAUUCGUCAUUUUUUAAUGCGUUUAAAAUAAUCGCGAAGUUGAAGUGGUAUAAGCAAGAAUUUGUAUAAUAAAUAAGAAAUAUCGUUUUAAAUAUGAUAUUUAUAAUUCGAGUUUUAUUUAUCGUAGCACAUACAACGUUUAAGAUUGCAUUCAGCAUUUUUUUGUUUUCGUUAUUUACAUCGUUUACUGAUUGAAAUCUCUCGAUUUUUCAAAAAGAGAUUAUAAAGAUUUUGCGGCAGCAAAUGGAAAUAUCGGUGAAGAGUCGAGGAAUAAUAGUUUGAUAUAUUUGCUUUGAGACUAUCCUCUGUCUCUUUAAUUAGGUUUGCUUCUGGAAAUUCAAGGGAAAUAGUACGGUUCAAGUGAUGACAAGUUCUCAAGUAAGGGACCUUGAUCGACAUGCUGAUAUUGCGGUAGAGACGUAUUCUAAAUUUUGUAAAUUGGCAAUAUUUCAAGCUAGGUUUGAGUCGCUCCGAAACUCGUGUCCCGACUGGUUCCAUCAAUCGUGAGAAAGAGAAAUUAAUUAGCGUAAUUGAACCCGAGUGUAAUUUGAAGGCUUCGUUAACACUUUCUUUAUGCUAAUCUCGAAAUACAUGUAUCUCGACGUCGUGCAUAAGUAACUGCAGAGUUAUUAGCAAUCCUUAUCCACUUCCCAACAUCGUAUCAUCCAAUUUCAAGGUAAUCUAAGAUUAACGAAGAUUUACUUCAUCCGUUAGCUUUGAAGAUUAAACGUAUCUUUGAAGAAACAUAAUAAUAGUAAAAUAUUAAUAGCAAAGAAAUUUCUAGAUAUUUAACAAAAUACUUUAUUCUUCGUCUAACUACGAUUAAAUGAUUUUUCAACCUAAAUAUCUAACUACAGUUUUUUCAAAAUUGUAAAUGAUUAAAAGUAAAGUUACAUCGAACUUCUGCUGUUCUUUGAUUCAUUACAUACGCAUGUUAUCUGCUGAAAGUUUAGAAUUACAGCAGAAAUGUAACAAAGUAAUCGUCGUCAAUCCAUCGCUAAAACAAAUCUCCGACUUACGAUUCUUUUAUCUUGGCAAAUUCUGUAGUCAAAAAUCCAUCGAGAUAAAGAAAAUUACCGAAAUUAGUAGAACAUCCAGUAUAGGUACAAGUAAAGAAACGGCUGCAAAUGUUUGGUUGAUACUAUCUGUCAUACAUUAUAGCAAUUUGUAAUCUCUACACCUAUCAAAACCUAUCAAAAAUAAACAACCGAUAAAUCUUCGAGAUCUGAUCUUCCACUCUUUCCAACAUGACAUCAAAGAAUCUAUUCAAGUAAUAUAACCAGUCUACUCUAAAUUCAGCAUAUCUUGAGACGUUUCAUGCUUCACGGUAUCCUAAGGUAAGCUUGAAGAGGCAAAGAAUCGGUAAAAUCGGUAACGGAUCCGGGAUGCUCGGUUCGGGCCCUUGAUUCAAGCAGCGGUGCAUCGUCUAAGCUCGGGGGCCGAUUGCAUUAUGUAAAAUACGGUGUUUCGCUCGCUACGUUAUCUGGCUUGUGUAAGAGUAAAUAAGUGCAAAGAUAUAACGGUUAAUUUCCGUGUUAACCGCGUUUUAUCGCGACGUCUAUCCACAGCGAGCCGCCCAAGCAGCAGGAUGCCGACUCUUUUCAGUGUGAAUCUGCCGCGGUCGCCUGUUUCACGUGUGUCUACCUUAACGCUCGCACACGGCCAGACACGCACAAUGGCCAUACCUUCACACACGGACAUUCUCUAUGUUGUAGAGCCUACAAUAUUCACGGUGUACAUGCACACCUGUCCACCUUUGGGUCUCUCUGAUCACGGAACGUGUGUUCCACGCGGUCUCGCGUGUUACCGUGCGCUCGCUACGUUGCUCGGGCUUGCAUCUCGCGUUGAACGAGGACGUUGCAGCCAGAACGCGCGGACACGAGCUGAGAAGAGCAGACAGAGAAGGAAAAAGGGGGCGGCGGCGUUGGUGGUGGUGGUGUUCGGAACGAGGACACGGGAGGGAAGAGGGCAAACGCUCUCGGUGCGUGUGCGCGUGCAUCAAGUAUAUUUAUGUGCGGCACCGUCACGUGGGGAAGGAUCGUAGAUUGCGGCCUGGGACAUGCCGGUGUUGGUGAAUGAGGUUGACGUGGAUAAAUGGUAUGUUUCCCCGCGGGAGACGUAUACCCGGUGAUCUUCCGGGCCCUGGACUCGCCGUACAACGGCCGAUCGGAGUGCCACAGAAACUCCAGGAAGCGCACCGCCUUGAUACUCGUCGUCACAGCCCCUCGAUUGCCACCGUGAAUGUCACCAACCUUCGACAAUCACGCUGGUACCGCCUGGUCGUCGUUGGGAGGUUCGCUCGAUGCUCAGAUUGAAUUGUUAAUAACGGAACAACUCGACGAUAGUGUCUAAAAGCUCGUGGGAGACCGAGUCCUGAGAUCAUAGUGGUUUUUCUGAUCGUCUUCCAUGUAGCAACAGCCAAACCUUAAGUCACAAUGAGAAGCCAGGAACGCAAGGAAGCGCGUUUCGAUGCGUGCCACAACGCACACCGUUAAGACCGACACAAGAAGAAGCCUGGAGCUGGGAGUAGCUCGAGUUUCAUUCAACUCGACACGGGUCGAGGCAGAAACGCGGGAAGCUUUCACCGUGGCGGCGUUCGAAAUCUAAUUAAUCCGUCCGCCAUUCAGGCAACGGCCAGCCACUUCAUAAACACGAUCAAGCCCGCGUGCAAGCUUACGUGGGCGGUGAAUCAGAUCUGGCGAAGAUAACGAUCAUCCGCGUAGCGUUUCGCGUUCGGUUUCUCCCGCUUUUACGAAUCCUGUUAAGUUCGUCUCAUUGUUCUGGCCGGCCUGUCAGGCGAAACGGAGGCCGAAUGCUUGGCAACGAACCCACAUAGACAGAGAAGGAAGGGAGGGAAAAGGUAGUGGAUGACGGCGAAACAGGAGGUGGAGGACGGGUAGGAGGAAUAAGAAAGCAAGGCAGGUCAGGCAAAGGCAGUAGAGGGUUAUCUGAUCGCGAGCGCGCGAAUAUCUUCUCGGCUUCCGGCGCCCAACCCGUGAUUACCGCGUCGAUUGUCUGCAAAUGGAAGCUGAAAAAAUGCAUCUCACACUCUAUAAGAAAAGCAUAGUUCCCCUCGUGGCGAGAGCGAGCUGCGUGUUCGCGCCGGCGAUAUCUCGGUUAGCAUCGUCCCACCUGCUUGGACGCGUUUAAGAAUCCAGCAUCGAUGCGCCGGAUCUUUCUCCGGAUUAUUUCGAUCUAUAUUUCACCGUCUUUUUUUAUGAUCUUAACGUUAACUAUUGUCAAUUACCAACAUUCGGACGCAUAUUUUCAAUAUAUGUAGACAUCGCAAAAUUUUAAUUUGUAUUUAAUCCUUUGCGAUAUCGGUGAAUAGAUCCGUAAUAUAAUUGUUAAGUGUUAAUAGCACUAAAAAAUAUUCGACUUGUAUGAAAUACGUGUUAGAUUCUGUGUAGACACAGUAGAUAUCUUAAUUGUCUAAAUGUCGAGUAAUUAAAAGUUAAUCACAUACUCCGACACAUUGUGAUGCUAGAAUCAGGAAAUGUUCAGAAAAUGAAUUUGUUCGGCUAAACUUUAAAUUAGAUGUUGCAUUUUGUGUACAUUAAUUGGUCUUCUUGUGGAUUCUAGCCAAAUUAAUGCAAUAAAAAAUAAUAUUUUGAUAGGUAACCAACAGUGAAAAAGUAGAUAAAUAUAUUAUUCUCGAGUCAUAUCCUAGCAAAGCAAAUUUGAAAUUAAAAGCAACAAUGCAUCAGAGAAUCUAAGGAAGGUUUUAAAGAACACGCAUGCACAUCAGAGAAAUGGAAUAUCUAGAUUCUAGAUACAUAAAUCCGCGCUUCGAACGAGCCGCGUUCUCCUAUCGCAUAAAUAUGGAUUAUUCUCGACCGAUACCAGAGUUACAGUUCGUGAGCAUGUUGAGUUGGAGCAAAAAUGAGGCGUUCCAAGGGGAGAGAAGAAAAGAGUACACGUGAAAAAUAAAUUUAAACGAUAAGCGGAAAAAUGAGACGAAAUAGUGGCCGUCUCUGGUUACAGGAAUCAUUAACAUUGCACAUAUAAUACAUGUAUAUCGAAUAACUUGUCUUAUACGAUAUAUAUGAUAUACGAUAUACGAUUAUAUAUGAUAUUUUUAAUAUUUCAUAUCGUUAUUUGAAUCUAUAGUUUUGCCAUAAAUAAAGAAGUACCUCUCCUUAUCUCUAAUUGCCAAAAUAGCGAUUUAUUUGAAACAUCGAAUAAUUUGUUUGAAACAUUUAUGCGUAAAACAUUUUCAUGAAAAUCCUUUCAAGCUUACUACCUUGAUAAAUAGUUAUUUUAUUAAAAUUUUCGAAAAUACCGGGGCAGUAUUUGGCCCUGAUUUCUUCGUCGCUCGUUAUUCACGAUAGAAAUUCCAGGAAAUUUCGGUAGAUUAAUGAUCACGCUGCAAAAUCGAACGUGUACAAUUAAUUCCGCGAAAAUUCCACUCGCUGAAGCAUCUAAUGAUCUAAUAUUUCUCUCUCGCGAUCAAUUAAGCUGGCCAAAUCUCCCAUUUUGAAAUGGACCUUGCUCGAUUCAAAAUAUACAAUACUUAUUGGAAAUAAUCAUGAAAUUUUCAAUCCCAUCGUGGCGACUGGAGAAACGAAUAAAUCCCCCAUCGACCGAUGUACCGCGCUAUCAAAUCGGGCAUCUGAUCGCAAAGGUCCACUCCAAUUACUCCCCUCCACAGGAAGAGAAGAGAAACGCAAAAUCAUUGGAUAACACUGUGGCGUCGUAACAACGGCGGAACCGUCGUCAAACCGGAAGCAGACCGGCAAAUGAAAUUAUAAAAGUUCCAUAAGAGGCGUGAUGUUUUUUCCCUACGAUAUAACAAUGUUUCUAUGCCGUUAACUGGCGGCCAUUUAUCACGGGCAACACGAUACGCAUUUCCUACUGCCCCGUGUAAGGAAAUCGACCAACCCUCGCUCUUGCGUUUUUUCUUUUUCUCUCUUUCUCUCUUUCUUUCUUGCUCUCUGCCCCACCCAAACGAACGUUUUCCCCCAAUAACAAAUGUGGAAAUACAGGAACUGGAAGGCGAAGAAAAUAAAAGGAGCGAAGAUGAAGAUGAAAAUGGAACUCAAUCGGAACUCAACUCAUCCAAAUGCUACUGUUCCAUAACAUUAUUCCAUAGAAAUGCAGACAAAGACGAAUAAAAAAAAAAUAGAAGAGACACAAAGAAGAAAUACGAACGAAGUGACACGUGAAGCUUUCCAUCGGCCAUAAAUACGCGUUCUUCCUAGUUUUUUCCAUCCGGCAGCUUUCCGCCAUAUUUAUGACGCUGAAACGACGCGAUCCAGCAGCUAGGCGGGGUAACCCCGAAGGAAUGAAAUCCUCGUUAUUCUUCGCGGCCGGUACGUUCGGUGUCUAGCAUCCGGCGGCGGCGCGAUUUAUUUGAGCUUCCGUCUUUAUCGUUGGCCAGGAUCACCACGGGUGAAAGAGGAUAUAGACCAUAACCACUUCGCGUUGGCUGGCUUCCUUCGCUCGUGGAUCCCAUAUCCUAUUAUAUUGCGCGCGAAAACCGCUGGCAAAUGUUGGAUGAACGCGAGGAAGAGUAGGGAGAAAUAGGCACAGGGUGAUAGAGGGAGAGAGAGGGAUAUAGGAAGAGAGAAAAAACGAAAAGAGAAUAAACGCGAAGACUCAUUAAGAGGCUCGAUGAUAAAGUGAGUUAUGGUACUCGCGGGGAAUCGAGCUAUUCCGCGAACUGUGAUUGUAACAGUGUUUCUGGCUUGCUGCACCCGCGCCUUCGUUAUUUAUGUAAGCUCGUCCCGCGAAAAUGUAACCGACUACCCUGAAAUGGGAACGCCGUUCUGUUAUCGCCCCGCCAUACGUAAUUCGUGUUUCUUUGGCUCGUCCUAGUUGGAAGAAGGAGAAUAGAAUUGUCUUACAAGUGUGAUUUACAAACUAUACGAUACCUCCUCCACGAAACUUUCCAAUAGUGACUCGUUGAUUUUGCGGCAAGCUAAAUUGUUUGUUAACACUUUCACGGCUGCUCAUACGCUUUAACCUUUAGACUUCAGUGUAUGUUAGAAAUUACUUUCAUUUUUCAGUUAUAUCAUUUGACUAUUUCUUUUGCACAAUUAUAUUGUAGAAAUACAGCGAGACCAAGUUAAAUAAUUUAAUAUACCGUAUCAGGCUUGAUUUAAAGUAAUAAAGUGUUUCGAGAACACGUACGUACAAUAGUAUUUUGAAAACGUUUCAAUGAUAAGAAUACAAAAAUUUGUAAUAGAGUAUGUAAUUCUUAAGUGGCAAUUUAAAUGUAAUCUUCCUGCUGUUGUCUUUCUUUGCACAAAAAUAUUAAUUCUUUUGUAAAAACCCCAUUCUCCAAGAGCUUCAUACCAACCCAAAUCAAAGUGGAUCAAUUUCAACCUUGUAUUUACACACUUCUUACAACCAUUCCGCCUCUUUUGCAUUAUUAUCUUAUUAAAGCGUUCGCAUAAAUAAUUCCAUCGGUGUCGGAAGCUAUCAGCGACAUCCUCUAUCGGCCCUCGUCGUUUCUGCCCGCUGUUUAGUUCACCUGGACUGGCUCCGGUGUAAGCCGAGCGAUAACCGUCGUUAACGGCGUGAAACGGAUGGAUCGAACGUUUCUCAACGACAGGAAUCGACGAGGAAGGCUUGGAUAAACAAGUCGACGGCUGCCCCAUUCGGCGGGUUGUCAAAGAGGACAAACGAGAAUGUCGUGUGGUUGAAAGUUGACGCGAGCCAGCGCGAGAAGCGGCUUCCCUCUAAUGUCUAGCCAAACAAUAUCGUCGCUUGUAUUUUUGGUUGUUCCAAUCGGGGUUCGUGUUAUUUUUGCGACGAGGGGGAAAUCGUUCCGCGGCUUCCUCUAUUGGUUCUACUUCCCUGGCGAUUGUCUUGCAAUUACGGUUUAAUUGCAAGGGUUUGCGAUAAGGGCUGGAGUGCAAUUAAAAAGUAACCGUCUACGUACGUAAUGAUUUUAUUAAACUUUCGCGAAAGAGUUUAUGCAAUUUGUUUUAAACGUCAGUUUUGCAUCUGUCGUAAUUUAUUCUAAUGAGAAAUUACGUGCGUCUCGACGAAUCUACUGUCACAGGCGGACCGUAAGCUUCAGCUCCGAUGAUUCAAUGUUUCCCGGCGUUUGAUACACUUUCAUGAACUUCAUUUGUUCUUCUAAUGUAAGAGGAUUUGAUAAGUUUAUAAUAAUAAUAUUAAACAGCGUAUUUAAUUACCAACCAACCUUUCUAUUCAUUUUAAUUCUUCGUUGUUCAAGUAAACUUUAAAUUUCAAAGAUAAUGCAAUAAGUGACUGAUGCUAACAAUGUUCUAAUUAAUUAUUCGGCAAAUGUCACGAAAAUUAUAUUUAGAAAUAUCUAAUUAGUACCAAAACAUCGAUAUUCGUUUGAUUAACUCAAAUAUUCGGGAAUUUCUUUUAUGAUAUUCUUCGACACUACGUCAUAUACUAUUUGGGAUUUAAAUCGAACGUAAAUUCUUUCUAUUAAUUCCUACUAAAAAUCAAAAUUCUAUUAUUUAUAGAUACGAACGUUUAUCAUAAAUUUUGUAUAACGACUAGCCUUAUUUAUGCUCUUCUAACAAUUUUCAUAUGCUUCAAAUAUUCAAAUAUUA